UACGUAGGCAGCGAGCGUUUGUUCGGAGUUACUGGGCGUAAAGGGUGCGUAGGCGGUUGUUUAAGUUUGGUGUGAAAUCUCCCGGCUCAACUGGGAGGGUGCGCCGAAUACUGAAUGACUAGAGUGCGGGAGAGGAUAGUGGAAUUCCUGGUGUAGCGGUGAAAUGCGUAGAUAUCAGGAGGAACACCGGUGGUGUAGACGGCUAUCUGGACCGUAACUGGACGCUGA
rnacentral:rRNA from 1 species